rnacentral:pre_miRNA from 1 species
UGUCUCUUGUAUAUAUCUACAUUUUAUUUAAUUUCUUGAUUCAUUUCAUUAAACAUGUGUGUUAGGAUUUGAGGGAGGAUUUUGCUCUACCAUGCUAGGAGCUAGCAGGUAGGUUUGGGGGCGAAUUUACACUAUGUUUGGUUGUGAAGAGAGAGAUAGAGAAGAGAGAAGUUGAGUAGAGAGAAAUAGGUGAGAGAUA